AUUGAACGCUAGCGGGAUGCUUUACACAUGCAAGUCGAACGGCAGCGCGGACUUCGGUCUGGCGGCGAGUGGCGAACGGGUGAGUAAUGUAUCGGAACGUGCCCAGUAGCGGGGGAUAACUACGCGAAAGCGUAGCUAAUACCGCAUACGCCCUACGGGGGAAAGCAGGGGAUCGUAAGACCUUGCACUAUUGGAGCGGCCGAUAUCGGAUUAGCUAGUUGGUGAGGUAACGGCUCACCAAGGCGACGAUCCGUAGCUGGUUUGAGAGGACGACCAGCCACACUGGGACUGAGACACGGCCCAGACUCCUACGGGAGGCAGCAGUGGGGAAUUUUGGACAAUGGGGGCAACCCUGAUCCAGCCAGCCCGCGUGGGCGAUGAAGGCCUUCGGGUGUUAAAGCACUUUUGGCAGGAAAGAAACGUCGCGGGCUAAUACCCCGUGGAACUGACGGUACCUGCAGAAUAAGCACCGGCUAACUACGUG
rnacentral:rRNA from 1 species